UACGGGGGGGGCAAGCGUUGUUCGGAAUUACUGGGCGUAAAGGGCUCGUAGGCGGCCAACUAAGUCAGACGUGAAAUCCCUCGGCUUAACUGGGGAACUGCGUGUGAUACUGGAUGGCUUGGAUUUGGGAGAGGGAUGCGGAAUUCCAGGUGUAGCGGUGAAAUGCGUAGAUAUCUGGAGGAACACCGGUGGCGAAGGCGGCAUCCUGGACCAAUUCUGACGCUGAUGAGCGAAAGCCAGGGGAGCAAACGGG
rnacentral:rRNA from 1 species